rnacentral:rRNA from 1 species
ACGUAGGAGGCGAGCGUUGUCCGGAUUUACUGGGUAUAAAGGGUCAGCAGGCGGAUUUACGAGUCGGUUGUAAAAUCCUUCAGCUUAACUUAAGAUCUGCCGUCGAUACUGUAUAACUUGAAUACAGAAGAGGGUAACGGAAUUCCAGGUGUAGCGGUGAAAUGCUUAGAUAUUAGGAGGAACACCAGUGGCGAAGGCUACUUACUGGACUGGUAUUGACGCUCAGGCACGAAAGCGUGGGUAUCAAACAG